rnacentral:RNase_P_RNA from 2 species
UCAGCCGAUCGGGCAGCCGCCCCGGUCAAGACCGGGGAGGAAAGUCCGGGCUCCACCGGGCAGGGUGCUGGGUAACACCCAGGGGGGGCGACCCCACGGAAAGUGCCACAGAAACGACACCGCCCCGGCGCCGCCGGGGUAAGGGUGAAAUGGUGCGGUAAGAGCGCACCGGCGGGGCGGGUGACCGUCACGUCGGGUAAACCCCACCCGGAGCAAGACCAAGUAGGGGGACGAUACGGUGCCCGGCCGGUCCCCGGGUUGGUCGCUUGAGCCCAUCGGUAACGGUGGGCCUAGAUGGAUGGCUGCCGCCUGCCCGACGUGCGUCCCACGCGCGGGCAGCGCACAGAACCCGGCUUACAGAUCGACUGAGCGG